rnacentral:rRNA from 1 species
UACGAAGGGGGCAAGCGUUGUUCGGAAUUACUGGGCGUAAAGGGCGCGUAGGCGGCUUAUCAAGUCAGGCGUGAAAUUCCCGGGCUCAACCUGGGGGCUGCGCUUGAUACUGAUGAGCUUGAAUGCGGGAGAGGAUAGUGGAAUUCCCAGUGUAGAGGUGAAAUUCGUAGAUAUUCGCAAGAACACCAGUGGCGAAGGCGGCUCACUGGCCCGGUACUGACGCUGAGGUGCGAAAGCGUGGGGAGCAAACAGG